rnacentral:rRNA from 1 species
GACGAACGCUGGCGGCGUGCCUAAUACAUGCAAGUUGAGCGCUGAAGGUUGGUACUUGUACCAACUGGAUGAGCAGCGAACGGGUGAGUAACGCGUGGGGAAUCUGCCUUUGAGCGGGGGACAACAUUUGGAAACGAAUGCUAAUACCGCAUAAAAACUUUAAACACAAGUUUUAAGUUUGAAAGAUGCAAUUGCAUCACUCAAAGAUGAUCCCGCGUUGUAUUAGCUAGUUGGUGAGGUAAAGGCUCACCAAGGCGAUGAUACAUAGCCGACCUGAGAGGGUGGACGGCCACAUUGGGACUGAGACACGGCCCAAACUCCUACGGGAGGCAGCAGGAGGGAAUCUUCGGCAAUGGACGAAAGUCUGACCGAGCAACGCCGCGGGAGUGAAGAAGGGUUUCGGAUCGUAAAACUCUGUUGGUAGAGAAGAACGUUGGUGAGAGUGGAAAGCUCAUCAAGUGACGGUAACUACACAGAAAGGGACGGCUAACUACGUG